UCCUCUUUUUUAAAGAAAAAAUAAAUUUUAUUUCUAUUUAUUAUUUUUCUUUAUUUCGAUCUUUUUAUUCUUUUCCUCUUUCCUUUCCUUUUCACUUAUAAUUAUCUUUGAUUGCGCUCCGAAACACUUCUGUUAUUACGUGCUCGAACUUGACAUCUUUCCACACUAUUGAAAGCUAAUGUUGCAGGAAGAGUGACCACGGUCCAUUCCCUGUACCCGGAAGCAAAAACCGGUAAGAGAAACCUGAUAUAAUCCUCUUUGUCUAUCGCUAAUGUCUCCUUAAAAAUUCGAGUUCAAUCUAGGGGACAUAUCCCCCGGAUUGAAUAGAGUAAUCUCCUAAAUGAAAACACUCUGGAUUCAAAAGAGAAAUCUCUCCAUCGGAUGAAAAACACCGAUAGUCAUUUCCUCGUAGCAAGUUGAGAAAAUUGUCCAUUGCUUGCAAAAAAAUUCGAAUCAAGAAGCGAAUCUCGAACUUCGCGUCCUGCAGAAGAAGGAGCGAGGAGGAGGAGAAUUACAACUAGUCACAGGUUCUCUAGGAUAAAAUUAUAGUUAUCGAAUAUUUACAUUACUCGAAAGUAUUUGGUUAUUAUAAUUAUUUAUAUUAUUAUAUUUUUAAUUAUUAUUCUUUAUCAUUAUUAAUCAUAUUUUUUUUUCGUUAUUAAUCGUUUUUUAUUGUUAUUAAUUAUACUUUUUUAUUGUUAUUAUUCUUCUUGUUCUUAUUAUUAUUAUUAUUUUUUAAUAACAUUUAAUUAUUUUUAAAUACGGGCGAAUAAAUAUUGAAUUUAUGAGUUUCAUAAUUCGAUAGGAACGAAUAAGCGAUGCCAUUUCUACGCAAGUCGAGGAAUCAGUCAAUUUGAUAACAGAUGACUCCAAUUGUUUAUUCCAGUUGAUCGAUCGUUUAUCAAUAUUUUUUUUUUUUUGAUUAUCUAUUUUAAAUUAAAUCUUAAAAUUAAAUAUUAAUUAGUUUAAUUAAUUAUUCGUCUUAAUUAUCCACGCGUUCUAAAUGAUUUGGUUAUGUAUUGGAAUAUGGCGCUGGCGGAGGAUAGAUAGGGAAGAUUAUUCAGAUUUGUUACUGAUAUUUGUUCCCGGUAUAGAAAAUGGGCCGGCAAGACAUUCGUUUAAUGGCCCAGAAAGAUAUCGGGUGUCGGAUGUUAUGCGAAUGCGUAACAGGAGAAAUGUGUCGGCGCAUAAUCAAAGUAUAAGCAAAAAGAAAAAAUGAAUAAAAAGAUCCAAAUAAAGGAAAAUAAAUAAGAAUAAGUUUAUUUUUUCUAAUUAAAGGAAAUUAAGAAAUAUAAUUCUGAAAUAAAAAGUAUUUAUCGAAAAUUAUUUAUAUUACUUAUAUAUAUUAGUCGAAGACGACCAAAUUUAAUCUAGUUUCGUAACACCAUUCAUUAAUACCAGUUUCAGGAUAUUUUUUUAUCAGGAUGUCCCUAACCUAUAAAACCUAAUUCUAGAAAUUAAUUAAUCAAGAAUUGGAUUAAUUGGAAUUAAAUGAAUGGUUCAAGUAAUUCCAAAUAAUGAUAAUUAAUGGAUAUAAAUAAUAUAAAAUUCAACUAUUAAAACGUAUUAUAAAAAUAAUUAAAAUAAUCAUGAUAAUUAACACAUAAAUUAAAUUAAUUAUAUUAACUAUAUUAAUUAUGUUCAUGAAUUAAUUACGUUGUCAGAUACAUAAAAAUUAAAGUAAUUAAAUUAAUCGAAUCGAGUUAAUUAAAAUUAAUUAAUUAAGUUAAUUAGAUCGAUGAAUGAGCAUAAAUUAAUGAAAGUACUAAGUCUGGAUCAAUAUUUCUUUUCGAAGCACGCUUAGCGUCUAAAAUCGAAUUGUGCUCUCUUUUACGGCGAUGUAUUAAUUCAAUGGUGCGGAAAAUAUCGAGUUUCGAGUGUCGAACGAUAAUAGAUCGUCGAUGCAUCAAAGAAGCGAGCGAAGAGAAAAGAUCGAAGUAAGUAAAGGCAUAUCUUCAAUCUUGUCCUGAAGUACCUUCCGUUAAUACUUGUCUUGGGAUAUUUUUUUUAUAAGCAUACGCUUAACGGAUAAAAAUGUCUAAAUCGAAUUAAUUAAAUUAAUUAAAAUGAAUAAUUCGAGUAAAUAAAUCAAUAGAAUAAUCAAGUAUGAAUUAAAUUAGUUAUGUGAAUUAAAAUAAUUAAACUAAUCGAGAUGAAUUGAUUAAAAUAAAUAUAUUAAAUAUGGCGAAUAAUUUGAACUAAUUGAAAUGACUUCAGAGAGAAAUUCAAAAUAAUUAAAUUAUUGGAAACAAAUAUGUUAAAAUAAUUAAAAAUAAUAAAUGAAAAAGUAAUUAAGUUAAUUAAAUAUUUAACGUACGCAAAUUAAUUCAAUUACGCCUACGAAUGAAAUUACUUUCGCGACGAGAUAUUAGCUUAAUGGUGCGAAAGAUGUCAAGUGUUUUUAGCGUCGACCAUUGAACGGUAAAUUAGAGAAGAGUUGGCACAUAAAGAAGUGAGUGUGAAGAAAAAAGGAUAAAUAGAAACAUUGACAGAUUUUUAAAAUAAUAAUGGAUUAUCGAUAAUUACUUAUUUAUAUACAUUUAUAUAUAUCGAUCGAAUGUAUAUAUACAUAGUCUUUAUAUAUAGAGUAAUGAUUGAAAUGUGGUUCAAAAAGUGAUGUUUCCGCCAAGUGGGUUGCGCCACCUCACGCAUCGCAAUUAUCUUCGAAAAUACAGCAAUUCAAAAUUUAGAUUAUUAUAAAAAUUUAUUUUUCUUUAUAUAUAACAUUCAAACCUAUUGAUUGAAUACAUGAUAUUAAUGUGUAAAUAUAUGUGUGUAUAAUAUAAUGUGUAUAUAAUAUUAAUAUUUUGUAUAUCAUUGUAUCGAUAUAUCGAUUAAAUGUGUAUUCCUUCUA